rnacentral:rRNA from 1 species
GGACUACAGGGGUAUCUAAUCCUGUUUGCUCCCCUAGCUUUCGUUCCUCAGCGUCAGUUGUGGUCCAGUGCGCCGCUUUCGCCACGGGUGUUCCUGCAGAUAUCUACGCAUUUCACCGCUACACCUGCAAUUCCACGCACCUCUCCCACACUCAAGCACAGCAGUUUUGGAAGCAGCCUCUGGGUUGAGCCCAGAGAUUUCACUCCCAACUUGCCGCACCGCCUACGAACCCUUUACACCCAGUAAUUCCGAACAACGCUGGCCCCCUACGUCUUACCGCGGCGGCUGGCAC